GGGGCUGACCGGAAUCGACAGGAAAGUUAUGAUCGGUUAGUAAGCAUGCAGGAGUAUGACGGCUACCUCCUUUAACAAAGUGCUGUUGAAACUAUAAUUGGCGAAUCUGAUUUCGCAAUGGCAGCUUAAUCUAGUAGAUUAACCAGCCUUCAUGCAAUUUACCUGUAGCCUGAUACCGGGUAAUGUCGCAUGUCACAACUCAUCAGGCAAGGAGUAGUUCUGUUCCGUAACUAUUUCGAGAUAAAGGAACUAAGGUUUGGAUUAGAUGCGUUUUUCCAUUUGUCCCAACACGAAAAUUAAAUGAAAAACUAAGCAUGUAGAAAGCUUUCAGGCGCUUUCUCUGGACGAGGGUUCGAAUCCCUCCAGCUCCACUC
rnacentral:tmRNA from 1 species